GUCCAGGGGCGGGAAUCGAACCCACAACCUUCUGCUUACCGGGCAGGUGCCAUGUCCACUAGGCUACCCUAUAAAUGGA
rnacentral:tRNA from 1 species